UGGGUUGUGGCUCAGCAGUAGAGUUCUUGCCUAGCACAUGCAAGACCCUGAGUUCAAUCCUCAGCACCACAU
rnacentral:tRNA from 1 species